rnacentral:ncRNA from 1 species
AAAUUUAAUUAGCAAACCCGAAGUGAUUCGGCGACGCAAAGCUAGAGGGACUUUUUUAAAAGUUAGCCAGUUGCAUAA